rnacentral:rRNA from 1 species
AGAGUUUGAUCCUGGCUCAGAGCGAACGCUGGCGGCAGGCCUAACACAUGCAAGUCGAGCGCCCAGCAAUGGGAGCGGCAGACGGGUGAGUAACGCGUGGGAACCUUCCUGAUAGUACGGAAUAGCCCAGGGAAACUUGGAGUAAUACCGUAUACGCCCGUAAGGGGAAAGAUCUAUCGCUGUCAGAUGGGCCCGCGUAGGAUUAGCUAGUUGGUGAGGUAAUGGCUCACCAAGGCGACGAUCCUUAGCUGGUUUGAGAGAAUGACCAGCCACACUGGGACUGAGACACGGCCCAGACUCCUACGGGAGGCAGCAGUGGGGAAUCUUGGACAAUGGGCGCAAGCCUGAUCCAGCCAUGCCGCGUGAGUGACGAAGGUCUUCGGAUUGUAAAGCUCUUUUGCCAGGGACGAUAAUGACGGUACCUGGAGAAUAAGCCCCGGCUAACUUCGUGCCAGCAGCCGCGGUAAU